AUACUCUGGUUUCUCUUCAGAUCGUAUAAAUCUUUCGCCUUUUACUAAAGAUUUCCGUGGAGAGAAACAAUUCCGAGUUUAUAUCCAAUUUUUUGAGGCCUUGUGUUUUUACAAGGCU
rnacentral:snRNA from 1 species